AGAGUUUGAUCCUGGCUCAGAACGAACGCUGGCGGCGUGCCUAAUACAUGCAAGUCGAACGAGAAUUCCCGGCUUCGGUUGGGAUAGUAAAGUGGCGAACGGGUGAGUAACACGUGGAUAACCUGCCUGUACAUCUGGGAUAAUCCUUCGAAAGGGGGCUUAAUACCGGAUAACAUCCCGAGGCGGCAUCGCUUUGGGAUCAAAGACGGGGCAACCUGUCGUGAACAGAUGGAUCCGCGUCCCAUUAGCUUGUUGGCGGGGUAACGGCCCACCAAGGCUCCGAUGGGUAGCCGGCCUGAGAGGGUGAACGGCCACACUGGGACUGAGAUACGGCCCAGACUCCUACGGGAGGCAGCAGUGGGGAAUAUUGCGCAAUGGACGAAAGUCUGACGCAGCAACGCCGCGUGAGUGAUGAAGCAUUUCGGUGUGUAAAACUCUGUCAGUGGGGAAGAACAGCAUCAGGAGUAACUGCCUGGUGCCUGACGGUACCCGCAGAGGAAGUCCCGGCUAACUCCGUGCCAGCAGCCGCGGUAAUACGGGGGGGACGAGCGUUGUUCGGAUUUACUGGGCGUAAAGGGCGCGUAGGCGGACCUUCAAGUCGGAUGUGAAACCUGGCGGCUUAACCACCAGCCUGCAUACGAUACUGUUGGUCUUGAGUAUGGGAGAGGAGAAUGGAAUUUCAGGUGUAGCGGUGAAAUGCGUAGAUAUCUGAAAGAACACCAGUAGCGAAGGCGGUUCUCUGGACCAAUACUGACGCUAAAGCGCGAAGGCUUGGGGAGCAAACAGGAUUAGAUACCCUGGUAGUCC
rnacentral:rRNA from 1 species